CAGUCGCCGCGGGAAUACGAAGGGUGCAAGCGUUAAUCGGAAUUACUGGGCGUAAAGCGUGCGUAGGUGGUGGUUUAAGUCCGUUGUGAAAGCCCUGGGCUCAACCUGGGAAUUGCAGUGGAUACUGGAUCACUAGAGUGUGGUAGAGGAUAGUGGAAUUUCCGGUGUAGCAGUGGAAUGCGUAGAGAUCGGAAGGAACAUCUGUGGCGAAGGCGACUAUCUGGGCCAACACUGACACUGAGGCGCGAAAGCGUGGGGAGCAAACAGGAUUAGAUACUCGAGUAGUCCCUGUCUCUUAUAC
rnacentral:rRNA from 1 species